UCCGUAGGUGGAUCAAUCAGUCAGAGGUGAAAUCCUGCAGCUUAACUGUAGAACUGCCUUUGAUACUGUUGAUCUUGAGUCAUUAUGAAGUGGUUAGAAUGUGUAGUGUAGCGGUGAAAUGCAUAGAUAUUACACAGAAUACCGAUUGCGAAGGCAGAUCACUAAUAAUGUACUGACACUGAGGGACGAAAGCGUGGAGAGCGAACAGGAUUAGAUACCCUGGUAGUCC
rnacentral:rRNA from 1 species